UUUUCGACCGAGAACAAGGACGACGUGCUUCGGUUUUAGAUUUGUACUUGAGAAAACUGGUAUAAGAAGGUCCAAGAGUGGCCAUUUUUAAGUCGCUGCAACGGUUACUACUAGCGAUUUAACCUCCAGCACACGCCGUAAGAACCUCAUCAUGAAGUUCUCCUGCCUCGUCUUGGUUCUCGUCAUCGUCACUCUUGUCUCAGGCAACCCUGCCCCUGGCUUCUAUGGCACGGACAGAACUCCCCCUAGAUUUUCUUCAGGCGAGGGCCGUUCUGGAGCAGCACUGGCACAGGAGUUGCAAUCACGAGGCAUUUUUGACAUCAUCUGUACGAUUUUCGGAGUCUGUUUAGGUUAGCCUUAGAAAUGGUGAAGUCAAACAGCGUCACAGGACAGAUAAUGAAAUGGAAUCAAAGCCAUCCAUUCAAAACGGAAAUGAACUCAAUAAAGAACAGUUUCCGCUUGUCA